rnacentral:ncRNA from 2 species
CCAUCCACGAUGGGAGAACCGGCGCCGCAAGGCCCGGUGCCGAAGGAGCAACCGCCCCGGAAACUCUCAGGCUUCAGGACCGUCGUUGGGUC